rnacentral:rRNA from 1 species
AGUGGCGGACGGGUGAGUAACGCGUGAGCAUCUGCCUUGGGGUCGGGGACAACCACUGGAAACGGUGGCUAAUACCGGAUAAGCCGAUUGGUGAAAGAUUUAUUGCCCGAAGAGGAGCUCGCGUCUGAUUAGCUAGUUGGUGAGGUAAGAGCUCACCAAGGCAGCGAUCAGUAGCUGGUCUGAGAGGACGAUCAGCCACACUGGGACUGAGACACGGCCCAGACUCCUACGGGAGGCAGCAGUGGGGAAUUUUCCGCAAUGGGCGAAAGCCUGACGGAGCAAGACCGCGUGAGGGAGGAAGGCUCUUGGGUUGUAAACCUCUUUUCUCAGGGAAGAAGCUCUGACGGUACCUGAGGAAUCAGCCUCGGCUAACUCCGUGCCAGCAGCCGCGGUAAUACGGAGGAGGCAAGCGUUAUCCGGAAUUAUUGGGCGUAAAGCGUCCGCAGGUGGCGAUUCAAGUCUGCUGUCAAAGCACGGGGCUUAACUCCGUAAAGGCAGUGGAAACUGAAUAGCUAGAGUGCCGUAGGGGUAGAGGGAAUUCCCGGUGUAGCGGUGAAAUGCGUAGAGAUCGGGAAGAACAUCGGUGGCGAAAGCGCUCUACUGGACGGCAACUGACACUCAGGGACGAAAGCUAGGGGAGCGAAUGGGAUUAGAUACCCC